GAUGAACGCUGGCGGCGUGCCUAAUACAUGCAAGUCGAGCGAACGGACGAGGAGCUUGCUUUUCUGAUGUUAGCGGCGGACGGGUGAGUAACACGUGGAUAACCUACCUAUAAGACUGGGAUAACUUCGGGAAACCGGAGCUAAUACCGGAUAAUAUUUUGAACCGCAUGGUUCAAUAGUGAAAGACGGUUUUGCUGUCACUUAUAGAUGGAUCCGCGCUGCAUUAGCUAGUUGGUAAGGUAACGGCUUACCAAGGCAACGAUGCAUAGCCGACCUGAGAGGGUGAUCGGCCACACUGGAACUGAGACACGGUCCAGACUCCUACGGGAGGCAGCAGUAGGGAAUCUUCCGCAAUGGGCGAAAGCCUGACGGAGCAACGCCGCGUGAGUGAUGAAGGUCUUCGGAUCGUAAAACUCUGUUAUUAGGGAAGAACAUAUGUGUAAGUAACUGUGCACAUCUUGACGGUACCUAAUCAGAAAGCCACGGCUAACUACGUG
rnacentral:rRNA from 1 species